CCUACGGGGGGCUGCAGUCGAGGAUCUUCGGCAAUGGGCGCAAGCCUGACCGAGCGACGCCGCGUGUGCGAAGAAGGCCUUCGGGUUGUAAAGCACUGUCGAGGGGAAGAUCGACCCCUGGAGGAAGCACGGGCUAAGUUCGUGCCAGCAGCCGCGGUAAGACGAACCGUGCGAACGUUGUUCGGAAUCACUGGGUUUAAAGGGCGCGUAGGCGGGCUGUCAAGUCGGUGGUGAAAUCUUUCGGCUCAACCGGAAAAUCGCCUUCGAUACUGGCGGCCUUGAGGGAGGUAGGGGCAUGCGGAACUUCCGGUGGAGCGGUGAAAUGCGUAGAUAUCGGAAGGAACACCGAUGGCGAAAGCAGCGUGCUGGACUUUCUGACGCUGAGGCGCGAAAGCCAGGGGAGCAAACGGGAUUAGAUACCCUUGUAGUC
rnacentral:rRNA from 1 species